GUCAGCUAAGGUGCCUAAAUGUAUGUUAGGUGGGAAAGGAGGUGGGAUUGCAAAGACAACAAGGUUGUUGGCUUAGAAGCGGCCACGAAGUCAAAGAGUGCGUAAUAGCUAACUGGUCGAGUGAGCCGGCGCCGAAGAUUGCCGGGGCUAAAACUUACUACCGAGGCUACGGCAUCUGUAAUGAUGGGUAGGGGAGCGUCCCAUACGGGUUGAAGCAUGACCGGAAGGACAUGUGGACAGUAUGGGAGUGAGAAUGUUGGCAUGAGUAGCGAGAUGUGGGUGAGAAUCCCACAGGCCGUAAACCCAAGGUUUCCAGGGGAAGGUUCGUCCGCC
rnacentral:rRNA from 1 species